rnacentral:rRNA from 1 species
GACGAACGCUGGCGGCGUGCCUAAUACAUGCAAGUAGAACGCUGAAGGAGGAGCUUGCUUCUCUGGAUGAGUUGCGAACGGGUGAGUAACGCGUAGGUAACCUGCCUGGUAGCGGGGGAUAACUAUUGGAAACGAUAGCUAAUACCGCAUAAGAGUAGAUGUUGCAUGACAUUUGCUUAAAAGGUGCAAUUGCAUCACUACCAGAUGGACCUGCGUUGUAUUAGCUAGUUGGUGGGGUAACGGCUCACCAAGGCGACGAUACAUAGCCGACCUGAGAGGGUGAUCGGCCACCCUGGGACUGGGACACGGCCCAGACUCCUACGGGAGGCAGCAGUAGGGAAUCUUCGGCAAUGGACGGAAGUCUGACCGAGCAACGCCGCGUGAGUGAAGAAGGUUUUCGGAUCGUAAAGCUCUGUUGUAAGAGAAGAACGAGUGUGAGAGUGGAAAGUUCACACUGUGACGGUAUCUGACCAGAAAGGGACGGCUAACUACGUG